rfam:Triticum aestivum genome assembly, contig: Triticum_aestivum_CS42_TGACv1_scaffold_321526_4BL
CAUGUACUCCCUCCGUUCAAAAUUACUUGACUUUCAUUUGUUAAAAAUGGAUGUACCUAUAUACUAAAAGCUGUCUAGAUACAUCUAUAUUUUAAUAAAUGGAAGUCAUGUAUUGUGGAACGGAGGGAGUACUAU